rnacentral:rRNA from 1 species
GACGAACGCUGGCGGCGUGCUUAACACAUGCAAGUCGAACGGAAAGGCCCUGCUUUUGUGGGGUGCUCGAGUGGCGAACGGGUGAGUAACACGUGAGUAACCUGCCCUUGACUUUGGGAUAACUUCAGGAAACUGGGGCUAAUACCGGAUAGGAGCUCCUGCUGCAUGGUGGGGGUUGGAAAGUUUCGGCGGUUGGGGAUGGACUCGCGGCUUAUCAACUUGUUGGUGGGGUAGUGGCUUACCAAGGCUUUGACGGGUAGCCGGCCUGAGAGGGUGACCGGCCACAUUGGGACUGAGAUACGACCCAGACUGCUACGGGAGGCAGCAGUGGGAAAUAUUGCACGAUGGGCGGAAGCCUGAUGCAGCAACGCCGCGUGCGGGAUGACGGCCUUCGGGUUGUAAACCGCUUUCGCCUGUGACGAAGCGUGAGUGACGGUAAUGGGUAAAGAAGCACCGGCUAACUACGUG